GACGAACGCUGGCGGCAGGCUUAGCACAUGCAAGUCGAACGCAUCGCAAGAUGAGUGGCAGACGGGUGAGUAACGCGUGGGAACGUACCCUUUACUACGGAAUAGCUCCGGGAAACUGGAAUUAAUACCGUAUGUGCCCUUCGGGGAAAAAAUUUAUCGGUAAAGGAUCGGCCCGCGUUGGAUUAGCUAGUUGGUGGGGUAAAGGCCUACCAAGGCGACGAUCCAUAGCUGGUCUGAGAGGAUGAUCAGCCACAUUGGGACUGAGACACGGCCCAAACUCCUACGGGAGGCAGCAGUGGGGAAUAUUGGACAAUGGGCGCAAGCCUGAUCCAGCCAUGCCGCGUGAGUGAUGAAGGUCUUAGGAUUGUAAAGCUCUUUCAGUAGGGAAGAUAAUGACGGUACCUACAGAAGAAGCCCCGGCUAACUUCGUGCCAGCAGCCGCCGUAAUAC
rnacentral:rRNA from 1 species